AUGAGUCUCGUCACAAUUCGGCAAGUGAGCGAAAGCUCAAUUUGAAAUCUGGUAGUUCGGCGCUCGAGUAGUGAUUUGGAAGGUGCUUUGGGGUGGCCUUGUCUAUGUUCCUUGGAAAGGACGUCAUAAAGGGUGAGAAUCCCGUGUGAUGAAAGAGCAUUUCUUUUUUGGUGCCUUCUAAGAGUCGAGU
rnacentral:rRNA from 1 species